rnacentral:rRNA from 1 species
AACGAACGCUGGCGGCAGGCUUAACACAUGCAAGUCGAGCGCCCCGCAAGGGGAGCGGCAGACGGGUGAGUAACGCGUGGGAAUCUACCCAUCCCUACGGAACAACUCCGGGAAACUGGAGCUAAUACUGGAUACGCCCUUCGGGGGAAAGAUUUAUCGGGGAUGGGUGGGCCCGCGUUGGAUUAGCUAGGUGGUGGGGUAUUGGCCUACCAAGGCGACCGUCCAUAGCUGGUCUGAGAGGAUGAUCAGCCACACUGGGACUGAGACACGGCCCAGACUCCUACGGGAGGCAGCAGUGGGGAAUAUUGGACAAUGGGCGAAAGCCUGAUCCAGCCAUGCCGCGUGAGUGAUGAAGGCCCUAGGGUUGUAAAGCUCUUUCACCGGUGAAGAUAAUGACGGUAACCGGAGAAGAAGCCCCGGCUAACUUCGUGCCAGCAGCCGCCGUAA